AAACAUAACUAUAUGGCAAAAUAUAUAGCUUUUCUGCUCAAUGGCAACCUAAAUAGCCGCAGUACUCUGACUGUGCAAAGGUAGCAUAAUCAAUUGGCUUUUAAUUAAAGUCUGGGAUGAAUGAAAGCAUGGGUAGCGACUGUCUUGCUAGUAUAGUAUGUCGAAUUUAAUAAGUAAGUGAAAAUGCUUACUAUUAUAAAAAAGACGAGAAGACCCUAGAAACUUCUAUAUUUAUUUUGUUGGGGCGACAGAAUUACAAUAAACUAAUUCUAUCAUACAAGACGCAGUGCAGUUAGAUUAAGUUACUCUAGGGAUAACAGCAUAAUUUUUUUCAGUUUGUGACCUCGAUGUUGGACUAGGUAUAUAAUUUUUUAAAAGGAAAUUUGAAUGCUCUGUUCGAGCAAAAAAACCUACAUGAUCA
rnacentral:rRNA from 1 species